rnacentral:misc_RNA from 1 species
UUUAAUCACCCAAAAGUAAACCAUUGUUUAUAGAUAUUGCUCUACCUGAUAUGUGGUGGUUGCGGCAUACAUUGUCAAUCAAUAUAUAGCAAUUGGUGGGGUUAUCUACACAAUGUCGGUAUCAUCAUUUUGGUGUCCUCUGGAAGUCGGCUAUUUUGUUAUUGCUGCCGUCCUCCGAAGUUUGGUAUAAUACAAUAUAUAUAUUAUAAAUCAAUAUAUCCUUUCGCCAUAUGAAAGAGAUACGGUGAUGAUGAAUAUCGUAACAAUUAUUAUAAUUUUCGAUGGUUUAUAUAUCUCUCUAUAUAUCCAUUUGGCAGUAUGAUGGUUUGUUUUACGACGUUGACAAAGGAUAUAUAUAUAUAUGUGUGCGAUAUAAAAAGUAGUUUAUAGUAAGCUUGCUAUUAAGAUAUGUAUAUUAAAGUAUUGUGUAUAAAUUAUAAUAUAUUAUAUAGACCUGAAAUCAGU